rnacentral:tRNA from 1 species
UAGAAUAUGGUGUAAGAGGGUAGCACGAAGAAUUUUGAGUUCUUAGGAUUAGGUUCGAAUCCUACGGUUCUAGAAGUUUAG